rnacentral:lncRNA from 1 species
GGUGACUUUCGCAUGGGAGUGAAAAACAGCGCUCCUCAGAUCAGGAAUUAACCGAAAGACAUAUAAUAAAUAGAUAUAUAUUAUAGUCCUGGGCUGCUCGAGUUUUUUUCCUCCUUUUUUUUCCCACGGUCUACUAGCAAAUAAUUAUUUAGCGGGAGGAGGAAAGAGGGAAGACAGAGGAAUAACAACAAAAGAAAAUAAGACAAGCUGUACAAUCUUCAAAACCUGUGGCUGGUAGUAAUGUAUCAGUUUAUUCUGCAGCGGCGGCGAACGAUUCCUCCCUCUAAUCUCAUUAGGUCUGCAAAGCAGCCCAAUUAGAUACUAUAAAACAAACAAUCACUUUGUCACUUUAAUGUUUUCACUUCAAAAGAUUUAGGACUGAUAAAACGGUGGCUCCUAAAGUUGCCUCCGACCUUUAAAAAUUUGCUCGGAACUCAGGAUGUCCCCUUUUCUUCACCCCUUCUUCUGCCCGCCUCCCCCACAUUAGCCCCCAGCUCUCCUUUGUUCACUCGCCCUUCUUUUCAGAAAGCCAAAUAAACAGCUCCUUUGAUGUGCGGCGGCUGCCUGCGAGGAGAAGUCUGAGGGACUCUGGCUAGGCGGGCAGCGCAGAUGGAAGGGCCCGGCUGCCCGUGGACAACAGGCUCAGCCACGGCUGGCCCCAUUCGGGGCGCCUUCC